GGCGGUUCGCCGCCUGUGACGUCGCGAGAAGUCCACUGAACCUUAUCAUUUAGAGGAAGGAGAAGUCGUAACAAGGUUUCCGUAGGUGAACCUGCGGAAGGAUCAUUGCUGUUGCCUCUUGAGAACACGACCGUUGCACAAGUAACCUAAAAUCUGCCGAGGAGUUGCUCCCUCGGUUCCAUCGGGCCACGAACGUGUUUUCUCUUCGGGGUGCACCGGGCGUGGUUCCGGAAUACGGCGUGAGAUUACGCCAAGGAACACACACUGCCGAGCAGACGGUGAUGCUUCGGCGUCAUGCGGUCUGUCGAGGCCAAAGUAAUAAAUUGAGAUGACUCCCGGCAACGGAUAUCUCGGCUCUCGCAUCGAUGAAGAACGUAGCGAAAUGCGAUACAUGGUGUGAAUUGCAGAAUCCCGUGAACCAUCGAGUCUUUGAACGCAAGUUGCGCCCGAGGGACCAUCCCGAGGGCACGCCUGCCUCAUGGGCGUUAGAAGCCCAUCCACGCUCGGCGUAGCUGCAUUGCAGCAUGCACCGAUGCGGACAUUGGCCCUCCGAGCCGUGAGGCACGACGGGCACAAGUGUAUGGCCAUCGGCUGAGGCCGGGAGCAGCGAGUGGUGGGCUACUGCGCACGCUGCCUUCGGAUCGAAUGCCGAUUGAGGGCCAAGUUCGACCCCAAAACGAUGUCUGUCGUCGUGUGCGGCAGCUUCGGACCAAUACCCCAGGUCAGGCGUGGCUACCCGCUGAGUUUAAGCAUAUAAAUAAG
rnacentral:rRNA from 1 species